rnacentral:rRNA from 1 species
ACCGGCAGCUCAAGUGGUGGCCAUUUUUAUUGGGCCUAAAGCGUUCGUAGCCGGUUUGAUAAGUCUCUGGUGAAAUCCCGCAGCUUAACUGUGGGACUUGCUGGAGAUACUAUUAGACUUGAGGUCGGGAGAGGUUAGGGGUACUCCCAGGGUGGGGGGAAAUCCUAUAAACCCGGGGAGGACACCCUGGGCCGAGGCCGCUUACCGGGAAGGACCCGGAGGUGAAGUACGAAAGCCAGGGGCGCGAACCG